CGCUACUUCGUAUCAAAUCCAAAGUGACUUUAAGGGACCUUCGAAGGAGAUUCUGAUGGCACCAGUAGAUCUCCAGGAAGCGAGGCCGUAGAAAGGAUAUGAAAAAAAUGAACACUUCCCAAAGUAAACUAAAACUAAUGGAUCGAAUGACUUUUAACUUGAAAUUAUCCAAUUACAUUUCUUCCCGGUAAUAACAUCAAUCACGAAGUCUGAAUGGGGUACAAAUUUUUUUUCGUCAAACUACUCCCUGCAAGAUUGAAAAAAAAAGUAAAAAUAACCGUUUCCUAGAUCUGCGUUAAAUUUCAAAUCACCUAUGGGAUUUCGCAAAUGAAAUUCCUUUUUUUAUUCUUCGUGCGUUUUUGAUGAGGCUGUCACCUGAAAAAAUUUAUACAACGGAAAAAAAAAAAUAAUAGGGAGGGGUAGAACCCGACGGAGUUGACGUAGAAUGCCCUAUGUAUGAUACGUUACAUAUAUUCGACCCGAUGUCCCGCAGGAGGGUGAAACCUCGUGUAACCUUUUGGAGUAUAAAGGGCUAUUCGGAUACAACAUUGAUAGGUGUAUGACACGUUUAUUUAGUUUCAGCUCGAAACGCUCCCGUUAAAACAACGCCAUCCGCGGCAGAGAGACAACGAAACCCGAGAUCAGUCCGCGUAAAGUUCACAAACAUGACGUCACUUUUAUAAUUCAAUGCAGCCCACAACCGGUGGAGAAAUUACUUGAUUACAACGGCAGUGAGUUUUGACCGUGGGGUUAAUUGUUAAUUAGUCCGCAAUCGCGGACCUGAACCUGCGGAAUUAUCUUUGCUUUGUUGUUAUUGAAAAAUCAAACGAAAAACUGCAACAUCUGCAGAAAGAAAAAAGAACGAAUCGCUCCGUAUGUGACUGUAACCCGCAGCCGAGAGGUCUUCGAGAUGAAUUAUUACAUCGCUGGGUAUAUUUACUCAAAACUCUUGUUGACGUUGGACGCAAAAAUGGAAUCGAGAGCGUUCGUGAUAAUCUUAUAUAUAGGUAUAUGUUGAGAUAUUCUGGGGGGGGGGGGGGACGGAAUAUUGAAUUAUGGCGGUUAGAAUUUUAGAGAAAGUUGGAAGUACGUACGAUGAAAAAAGGAUAAAAAAGCAAACUAAAAAACAAAAAUAAAAAAAAAUCCCCGUCGUUUCGAGCGUGACCUCGUGCCGCGAGGGGACAGCUAAAAGGAACUACGCAGUCCGUCGGAUAGCCGGGUGAUCGAGGCCGAUGAAAAAAGAAAUUAAAAAAAACGUGAAGUAGGUGUCUAUAAAAAGCUAGACGAAAAACAGCUGCACCUGGAUAUGAUCUGGAACGUCUAGUAUCGCCAGUGUGAAAAAGAAGACGUGGUUGGUCAGCGCGUUGGGUCAUAGAAGAUAGAGAAUCGCGUUGUUUUAUCGGAGUCAUCAACCCCGCGCACGCGAAAACUAAACUUCUAUUCUUUGUCAGGGAACGUAGCUUGGUAUAUGAAGACGGGCAGCCCCUAAGAUCGAUGCCGCCCUUUAUCGCGCUAGUUUUGUGCGUCGCAGCGAACGUCCUCGUCCGAAGCCAGGAUACGUUCACCCACCGGCCUCACUCACAAUCAGUGUCCGUGUGUUAAGGAGAGUCCUGUUGGCUGUGUAGUUCAUGAAUUCAUGUGGGGGGAUGAAGGAGAGGGAGCUAGAAGAUAAGCGAGAGAGAAGGGAAAACCGGAGAACCGCGCUUACUUUGUUGGGUGGAGGAGACGCAGGAAUUGUACGACCGACGCCAGGCACCAUGGCGCCCGACGUUUCUCCGCCGUCGCCACCAACACCCCUACCAACAUCGCAUCGUCGCCACAGUUCGAGCCAUUACCUUACUUAUGAGCCAGUUCAAACUGCGGGAAACCGGCCCAUCGGCGUCCAAGGCUACAAGCUUUGAAUUCCUUCGCAUCAUCCACGAGGACUUUUUACAAGGAUAAAAAGAUCAUUGUCACGGCACAGCUCGUAUGUUUCAAAACUCCAAGGAUCUUUCUAUGCGUGAUCGUUUUUUAAUAUUCUAUGAACUUCUACAGUGCCCGAAAACCGCAGUUUCGUAUUAGCUGGAAGUAGAAUGAAAGUAAUAACAUUGUAUCAAGUACUAAUGAGACUCCAAAAGUGCUGCAGGCUGUCAUCGGGUUACAUCCGACGUUCGCGUGCAAUUUUUGUUGCGGCGAGGCUCCCCCAUUCCUGGAGGACGUUAAUGGUACACCGGUGUCCAUUUAUUGGACGUGCGUCGGUUCGUCCACUAUCUCAUUGGCUUUUUUUCGAUGGACGACAUCCGGAAACCUCGACAACGCGAACUCCCAUUUACCGAAUUGAACCGAACUGUGAGUCACGACAAACUGGAACGGAAAUCAACGUUCGUAUAAUGUAAGGCCCUGCCGUAUCUAGAUAACUCGCGAUAGGGAUUCCCUCCUUAAAAUAUCUAGGCCUUCGAUCCUGGGGGGGGGUGAACAACAGGCUCUUCUAAAUUAUACUCUUGUCUCCGGACUACAAUAACGAAGAGUUCGAAUGUAUGGCAAUAAUUCUUUCGCAAACUGAUCUCGAAACAAACAAGCGAAAUAAUAAAAAUCAAAGGAUUGCGAGGGUGAGCUGGUGACGGCGCUCCAGAUAAAACUUCAGAAAUUUGAACCUUCAUUUCCGCCAUGCCGAAAGAUUGAUGGGGACAAACAACGAUUUAGAAAGCGAACGUUAUACAUACACGUAGCCCGAGCAAACUACGUACAACACAAAGGCACUCGGUGUGAAAUUGUAAUUAUUUAGUUGUUGAUUUACGCAUAAUUUAUCUGCGACGGAACGGGUAUAACGUGCAAUUUGGAAAAUUACUCGCUUCUUUAUGGGUUUUUCUUCAAUCAAUUCAAUUGAUUGUAGACCCAAAGUAAUCGAAAACAGUCUUUGCACGUAUGUACGUAAAUAUUUUUUGCAAAACAACAUUUGCAGAUUGCUACACGUAUUGCUUUUUUCAUUCUUUUUCAAUUUUUUUUCUCGUUGUUGCAGUUUGGAGAUAGUAAAUGUGGUGAAAAAAUAAACGUUCGCGCUCGUUAUCAAAUCCGUUGGAACAAUAAGGUGAAACUGGGAAAGCGCGUCGAAAAAAAAAAGGGCACAGCGGAAGUAAUCGUGGUUUGCGAAAUAGUUGGGCGCAAACUUCCUACUCGUAUUAUACCUCUGUAUAUCCGAUCACAUCGGAUAUAUAAUACCUAUAGCUAGCUGUACAUAUGUACGGUUACAAAGCUGUAUAAAUUGUGCCGACAACCGCAGUGAACCUCAUUUCCUAAUCAAGUAAUUAUACUACUAGUAGUCGCAGGGAAAUUCAUAAUAACUCAAUUACACAUCUGCAACAGCGGGAGCAGCGGUAUCAGAGCAAUGAGAUUUUAUAAUGUCGCACGCCAUAAUUUUACUCGUCGUUAAAGUACGGACAGUAUAAUUUUUGGCCCCAGGAACACGAAUGCAUCGACUAAAUCAAGCUACGAAUGAGUCUCAUCAAGAUAUCUCAAAUUUUCUGCUCCGAAAAGUGGAAGAUUGGUGAACGAGCCCUUGAGCAUUUUUUAAUCACAGCUUUCAUCUCUGAUGCCCAAUGCAUUUUUCGAAAUUUACGAGUUCGACAAAAACGAAAAUUUUGAUGUUUCUUUUCUCGAUGACAGCUCAUUUUAGGGAAAACCUUGAGAGACGUCAGAUGUUCAGCUCGAGAGAAACUUCCCAUAGAAAAAUGAUUGCAUUUUUAUCGUCAACGAAUUCGACGAGGUAUGAAUGAAAAUUUUAUGACCAGAAUCAUUCACGAAAUUGCGAAAUUUGAUUACAUCUUUUCUUUUGAAAUAAAAUCUGUGUGCACGAUAAUUUUUGGACUUGAAACUUUUUCGACGUCUUGAAGGGUUUCAUAAAUUAUUCUCAGACCACUAAUUAAAUGAAGCCAAAAAUCGAAUUCCCAAGCUACGAUUUAUAACGAUUUAUUCGUUCUCAAGAUAUAGUGAAAUGCGCUCGAGCGCUCUCUAUCUCGUUCGUACUCCUACCGCCGCGCGGCGUAACGCCUCACGCCUUGUGAUCUCCCCACGCUCAGCUUUCUCGCACCAAAAUCCACAUCUAAAAAACAUUAGGCGAAUGCACUCCGCGCGGACUUCGGUGGCAUGCUUCGGCUCACCCUAUCACAAUGGAACUGAUUUUGCGUUUGCAACGCCCCAUUUUACCACGUGCGUCGGACAUCUCGACCGUCGGCACGUGCCAGAAUUUAAACAAAAUUGAUAGCUUUGUAAUAGUUGAUGAGGUGUGAAAUCACAGUCAUUAUUUUUUUCUUGCUCCCAUUGUGAGCAGGUGUCGGACGAGCUGUCAACACCUGACAAAGAUCUUGUUCACACCUCGUAAAUCACCCCUUUGAUCCACCUAAGUGGCGGCAUCCUUUUGCAGUGAUUUUACCGCGAAUUUCUAUAUAACCGUUUAAGGAAGUAAAUAUGUAAAAACUCGCUACAUACUUGAAUGGAUCAGAGUACACUGAGGGAGUUCAAUUCUGUCGUGUUUAGCCAUACCAAAGCAUAGGCUGUAGUUCAGAAUCAGAGGCCCCAAAUGCACGGGAAAAAAAAAAAAUUCAAUCAAAUUUUUUUCUUUCAUGCAGUGCAUUGAUAGACAUUAUGAAAGGAAGACCGACAAUUUAAUAAUUAAUUUUCAAGCUCAAGAUAAUUAACACAAUUUUAUUGUCCACCCAAAAACAUAAUGAUUUGAAUUAUAUCUUUGUAUUAAAACGGUCAGACUAUGGCUCACUCUUAUUUUUCAGAACGAAUACGUAAAUCGAGAUAUCCCGAUUGGUUCUGAUCUUGACCAAUUUUUAUAGAUGAAUUAAUUUGGCUCCCACAUUCGGAUUUCUGAGAUCAAAUCACACAGGAAUACAUCAAAAAAUAAUCUUCCUAUUCUUGAUUUUUGGGCCAAAGAUGAAGUAUUUUGAAAAUUGAUUGUAGGACACUUUUCCAACGUAUUUAGA